rnacentral:rRNA from 1 species
CAGUAGCCGCGGUAAUACGUAGGGUGCGAGCGUUAAUCGGAAUUACUGGGCGUAAAGCGUGCGCAGGCGGUUAUGUAAGACAGGUGUGAAAUCCCCGGGCUUAACCUGGGAACUGCGCUUGUGACUGCACAGCUAGAGUAUGGCAGAGGGGGGUGGAAUUCCACGUGUAGCAGUGAAAUGCGUAGAGAUGUGGAGGAACACCGAUGGCGAAGGCAGCCCCCUGGGCCAAUACUGACGCUCAUGCACGAAAGCGUGGGGAGCAAGCAGGAUUAGAUACCCGCGUAGUCCCUGUCUCUUAUAC